AUUGAACGCUGGCGGCAGGCCUAACACAUGCAAGUCGAGCGGAGCGGCGGACGGGUGAGUAAUGCCUAGGAAUCUGCCUGGUAGUGGGGGAUAACGUCCGGAAACGGGCGCUAAUACCGCAUCCUAUCAGAUUAGCAUGGGUCGGAUUAGUUAGUUGGUGGGGUAAAGGCCUACCAAGGCGACGAUCCGUAACUGGUCUGAGAGGAUGAUCAGUAACACUGGAACUGAGACACGGUACAGACACAAGCGGGAGGCAGCAGUGGUGAAUAUUGGACAAUGGGCGAAAGCGUAGUAGAGCCAUGCCGCGGGGGUGAAGAAGACCUUCGGAUUGUAAAGCACUUUAAGUUGGGAGGCGAUACCAACAGAAUAAGCACCGGCUAACUACGCGCCAGCGGCCGCGGUAAUAG
rnacentral:rRNA from 1 species